AGUGAACGCUGGCGGUAGGCCUAACACAUGCAAGUCGAACGGCAGCACAGUAAGAGCUUGCUCUUACGGGUGGCGAGUGGCGGACGGGUGAGGAAUACAUCGGAAUCUACUUUUUCGUGGGGGAUAACGUAGGGAAACUUACGCUAAUACCGCAUACGACCUACGGGUGAAAGCAGGGGAUCUUCGGACCUUGCGCGAUUGAAUGAGCCGAUGUCGGAUUAGCUAGUUGGCGGGGUAAAGGCCCACCAAGGCGACGAUCCAUAGCUGGUCUGAGAGGAUGAUCAGCCACACUGGAACUGAGACACGGUCCAGACUCCUACGGGAGGCAGCAGUGGGGAAUAUUGGACAAUGGGCGCAAGCCUGAUCCAGCCAUACCGCGUGGGUGAAGAAGGCCUUCGGGUUGUAAAGCCCCUUUGUUGGGAAAGAAAAGCAGCAGGUUAAUACCCCGCUGUUCUGACGGUACCCAAAGAAUAAGCACCGGCUAACUUCGUG
rnacentral:rRNA from 1 species